UGAGUCAUUUAAAUACCCGUCCCGCUAUAGAACAAAAAAAAAUUUUUUAAGACUUCCACUUAAAAAAUUUUUUAAUUAUGUAAAUAACAGCAGGGGUUACGCCCGUUAGUGUAGUUAAACCUUACUCCUCACGAUACGGGCUUACGACAGCCAUACAACCCUGUAAAAAAAUCUAAAAAAAAUUUCUAUCGAAUUCUCCAAAAAUUAUGGUAUUUUAUGCAAGAAGUGGUAAGGUUCCUUGCGUUAUAUCAAAUUAAACCACAUGCUCCACCGCUUAUACAAUCUUCCGCCAAUUACUUUGAGUUUUAACCUUGCGGUCGUAGUACUCAGGCGGGACAUUUCCGCGUUAGCUAAAUUCCUUAAAAAGUUCAAAAAAUUAAUGUCCAUAGGUCAGGGCGUA
rnacentral:misc_RNA from 1 species